ACUCCCCAAUGUGACGAAAAAGGAGUGUGUGAGUGACUGGGUGAGCUUUCUGUCAGCAGCUUGCGUGUCACUUAAACUCAGCGAAGCCGAAGCGCAGCUAUGUCGGCAACAACUUUCUUUAUUUUUACGCUCUCCGUUACUUUAUUUUCCAUAAUCGUCGCUGAUUCCUGCCAGGCUUACACAUCCAUCUCUGGUGUCAAACAUCCGUACCAGGUUUGCUAUUAUCCUCAGUUCUGCUGUGGCUCAUGUUCAUACAAAUACUGCUGCAGAGACCGAGAACUUGAAUUUGAUGAUGACAAACAAGAUAAAUGCCAGAGUCCCAGCAACAUGACCGCCCACAUUAGCCACAUUGUCGUUGGCGUUGUGUUUAUUGUCAUCAUCAUCAUUGUCAUCGUCUGCUGGUGCCUGUGCCCUUGCUGCGGUAUGUAUAACAUGUAGGAAGCCCAGGCGUGAGUAUAUAUACCGCUGUUCUUUAUCAGUCUGUCCCAUCCUGUCCAUUGUUGUGAGUUGUUUGAGCUGUUCACAGAGUACUUAUGAAUUUAUAUUUAUUAACCUGGCUCUGGGUUUUCAUUUGUAACCCCCCCCGCCCCACACACACACACACACACACACACACACACACACACACAUUGUUGCUGAGGUGCUAAGCUAUACAGUAACAACAGUGUAUUUUGGUUAAAUUUCGAAGUUGGGGAAAAAAAGGUUAAGAUUUAUCCACCAUUUUAAAACAAUAUUCCAUCAUUGCAUCAAUUGUUCUCAAAUAUACCUGCAUAAAUCACUGGUUCCACCUCUGUUUGAGGUUCCUCUACAGCAUUCUUUAAUGAUGACCUCAUCAACUGAGUCAGUCUUGUUGUUUUAAAGUUUAUGUCUUAGAUUUGCAGACAGUCUCAUCUUGUGUUUCUCAGCGAGUACUCAGAUACCAGAGCAUGUGAGCGGAGCGUGAGCGAGGAGCGGAAUUUGGUCAGAGCGCGGAGCGGGUUUUCUAAUUAAGGCUGGAGCGGUCGCUUUGUCUCUCUCCAAUUUCGCUCCGA